UGCAGCUUCUGAAUAUUGUAAAUUUUACAGGCUUAAAAGAAUGAUGCCAGAGGCUCUCAGAGUCUGGACUUGGUUAAAAUUUGUGGUGCAGAGAAAAGAGAAAGGAGGUGGAGUGGAAAUGAAGAUCUCCAUCUGAGCUGUGCACUUCAUCUCCUGUGCCACCAUGAGGAACAGUCUCUUCAGACAACUAGCCUCAACAAGUAUGCCAAGAGCUGAGAAGUAUUGAUGCCUACCUCACACACCAGAGCAGAAGGACCCCAUGCUGUCCUGUAUAAACACUGCCAGUCCAAGUCUGAUUUUAUGGAGUCCAGGUUUGGCUCAAGAAAUUAAGGCUGCUUGCAGCCCUAUGCACUCACCCUUGGCUUCAUCACCAUUGCACAAAGAUAAGUGGGAAUAAUAACUCUUACAAACAGGGUUUAUCUCUCCAUUACUGAAAGAAAAAGGAGUGUAUUAUAUUGUGGCAACCUGAGAACAGGAACUGAGCAUAGAGUGCCAGUGUUUUUUGCAGACUGCUGUUAGAGAUCCUGUUACAUGGCUGGUAUUCUUUCAGCUAAACCAUCACAGAGG